rnacentral:rRNA from 1 species
GACGAACGCUGGCGGCGUGCUUAACACAUGCAAGUCGAACGGAAAGGCCCUGCUUGCAGGGUACUCGAGUGGCGAACGGGUGAGUAACACGUGGGUGAUCUGCCCUGCACUUCGGGAUAAGCCUGGGAAACUGGGUCUAAUACCGGAUAGGAGCCAUUUUUAGUGUGAUGGUUGGAAAGUUUUUUCGGUGUAGGAUGAGCUCGCGGCCUAUCAGCUUGUUGGUGGGGUAAUGGCCUACCAAGGCGGCGACGGGUAGCCGGCCUGAGAGGGUGGACGGCCACAUUGGGACUGAGAUACGGCCCAGACGCCUACGGGAGGCAGCAGUGGGGAAUAUUGCACAAUGGGCGCAAGCCUGAUGCAGCGACGCCGCGUGGGGGAUGACGGCCUUCGGGUUGUAAACUCCUUUCGCUAGUGACGAAGCUUUUUGUGACGGUACCUAGAUAAGAAACACCGGCUAACUACGG